UGUUAGGAGGGGGAGACACCAGAGCACCAACUUCUCUCACUUAAACCUUAUGACAACCUUAAGAAGUAGGCAGCAUGAUCCCCUUCUUGGAAAUGCAGAAAGAGAGAAUGGGGGAGAUUGAGAGGCUUGCAGAAUGUGACAUCAUUAGGGAGAACAGUGGUUGAGGUCCAGCAGCUCCUGCAGAUGGGUGGUGGUGGAAGGAGGAGAGAAUGGGCCACAGGCAGGCCAAGGGCAAGCUUAGCAGCACUCAACAUCCUCCAUGAACUCAACAGAAGUCAAGAAUGCAGGCAGCUCAUGAUGAAGACCUGCAGCGGCCCAGGUUUACCAAGCUCAUUCACAAUUGCAGUUGGAGAAUUCGUCUUUGGUCAUUUUCUACUUUGGAAAUACGAAGAGAAGCAGAUGAAUGGGAGUACUGAUGCCAGCUUU
rnacentral:lncRNA from 1 species